rnacentral:rRNA from 1 species
CCGGUUGAUCCUGCCAGAGGUUACUGCUAUCGAGAUUCGACUAAGCCAUGCGAGUUGAAUGUUCUUCGUGAACAUGGCGGACUGCUCAGUAACACGUGGACAACCUACCCUUCGGUCCGGCAUAAUCCUGGGAAACUGGGGAUAAUUCCGGAUAGGUCACAGAUGCUGGAAUGCUCUGCGACUCAAAGCUCCGGCGCCGAAGGAUGGGUCUGCGGCCUAUCAGGGUUGUAGUGGGUGUAACGUACCUACUAGCCUACGACGGGUACGGGUUGUGAGAGCAAGAGCCCGGAGAUGGAUUCUGAGACACGAAUCCAGGCCCUACGGGGUGCAGCAGGCGCGAAAACUUUACAAUGCGGGAAACCGUGAUAAGGGAAUCUCGAGUGCCAGCAUAUAAUGUUGGCUGUCCAGAUGCCUAAAAAGCAUCUGUUAGCAAGGGCCGGGCAAGACCGGUGCCAGCAGCCGCGGUAAUAC